rnacentral:rRNA from 1 species
CGCGUCUGUCGUGAAAGUCCGGGCCUUAACCCCGGAUCUGCGGUGGGUACGGGCAGACUAGAGUGCAGUAGGGGAGACUGGAAUUCCUGGUGUAGCGGUGGAAUGCGCAGAUAUCAGGAGGAACACCGAUGGCGAAGGCAGGUCUCUGGGCUGUAACUGACGCUGAGGAGCGAAAGCAUGGGGAGCGAACAGGAUUAGAUACCCUGGUAGUCCAUGCCGUAAACGUUGGGCACUAGGUGUGGGGACCAUUCCACGGUUUCCGCGCCGCAGCUAACGCAUUAAGUGCCCCGCCUGGGGAGUACGGCCGCAAGGCUAAAACUCAAAGGAAUUGACGGGGGCCCGCACAAGCGGCGGAGCAUGCGGAUUAAUUCGAUGCAACGUGAAGAACCUUACCAAGGCUUGACAUGUUCUCGAUCGCCGUAGAGAUACGGUUUCCCCUUUGGGGCGGGUUCACAGGUGGUGCAUGGUUGUCGUCAGCUCGUGUCGUGAGAUGUUGGGUUAAGUCCCGCAACGAGCGCAACCCUCGUUCCAUGUUGCCAGCACGUAAUGGUGGGGACUCAUGGGAGACUGCCGGGGUCAACUCGGAGGAAGGUGAGGACGACGUCAAAUCAUCAUGCCCCUUAUGUCUUGGGCUUCACGCAUGCUACAAUGGCCGGUACAAUGGGUUGCGAUACUGUGAGGUGGAGCUAAUCCCAAAAAGCCGGUCUCAGUUCGGAUUGGGGUCUGCAACUCGACCCCAUGAAGUCGGAGUCGC